rnacentral:rRNA from 1 species
UACGUAGGGCGCAAGCGUUGUCCGGAAUUAUUGGGCGUAAAGAGCUCGUAGGCGGUUUGUCGCGUCUGUCGUGAAAGCUUGGGGCUUAACCCCAAGUCUGCGGUGGAUACGGGCAGACUAGAGGCAGGUAGGGGAGAACGGAAUUCCCGGUGUAGCGGUGAAAUGCGCAGAUAUCGGGAGGAACACCGGUGGCGAAGGCGGUUCUCUGGGCCUGUACUGACGCUGAGGAGCGAAAGUGUGGGGAGCGAACAGG